rfam:Clostridium sp. CAG:7 genomic scaffold, scf280
UGUCCGGAAUGACGUAAAACUACCAGCACAAGGGAAGCAACCCCGUAAAAAGCGUA